UGGCGUGAACCCGGGAGGCGGAGCUUGCAGUGAGCUGAGAUCCGGCCACUGCACUCCAGCCUGGGCGACAGAGCGAGACUCCGUCUCAAAAAAAAAAAAAAAAAGAACUUGACUCCUACAUCAAAGCCAAGUCUUUGGGCAAUGCUGGCAGUUUCUCCUGGAAGUAAUGAGAAAUGUUGUGAAAGAACUCAGCGCAUUGGCCAGAAAUGAUUGAAAAACCAUCAAAUUUGGGGCAGGGGGAGGUGUAAAUACAAAUACAAGUGAGAAAAGGGAUUCUAGAGCCAACUAUGAAAUACCAGAAUCUCCUUGAGGUGGGGAACAUUCGUUGAUGUUCCAAAACUCAGAAAAGCACUGCCAGGCCCAGCCUUUGUAGAGCUUGUUGCUGUUAGAAAGAGCCCACCCAGGCAGAUCACAAGGUCAGGAGUUUGAGACCAGCCUGACCAACAUGGUGAAACCCCAUCUCCACUAAAAAUUCAAAAACUUGUGGGGUAUGGUGGCACGUGUCUGUAAUCCCAGCUACUCAGGAGGCUGAAGCAGGAGAAUCACUUGAACCCAGGAGGCAGAGGUUGCAGUGGGCCAAGAUUAUAACACUGCACUCCAGCCUGGGCGAGAGCGAGACUGCAUCUCAACAAAGAGCCCACCCAGAGGUUACUCGUGUUGAGGGUAGAGUGUGCUGCUAAUGAAUUGGGAGGCACAUCCCUUUCCAUGGAGAAUAGGAAGCACCCAGAACGGGCAGGUGUGUGACAGCCAUGCUGGACUCAAGAGGCAGGCUGUUCCCAUGCUUUCGGCACAGAGUCAUCCACAUGAAGAACAACCCUGUUUCCUAAGCUGGGGUUUACUAUCAGCUCACCACUGGAUUGCACCAGCCAACAGAGACCUGGUCAGGUGCAGUGGCGGGUGGCUGAGGGCAAAACCAAGCCUUCACAAAUCUGACAUGGCAGAAACUGUUUUAGAGAUGAGAAAUGACAAGCUUAAAUUGCCCAGUACCUGCCGGCUCUAUGUGCUCUCCUGAUUAUAGGUCACUGUUGCUGACGUCUUCCUCCUACAUGCACUGACUGGGGCCUGCCCCACACAGGGACUACAUGGGCACUUCUGUUUUUUUGAGACAGUGUCUCACUGUCACCCAGGCUGGAGUGCAGUGGCAUGAAUUUGGCUCACUGCUACCACCUCCACCUCCCGGGGUUGAGUGAUUCUCCUGCCUCAGUCAUCACAGUAGCCAGGACUACAGGUGAGCACCACCAGGCUAAUUUUCGUAUUUUUUGGUGGAGAUGGGGGUUUCACCAUGUUGGCCAGGCUGGUCUCAAACUCCUGACCUCAAGUGAUCCGCCUGCCUCAGCCUCCCAGAGUGCUGGGAUGACACAGGUGUGAGCCACCCAGCAAAUAUGGCACUUUUUGAUACUACCUGGCUCUAGCAGCCUUAACCGUAUCAAUACCCAAUAGCCAUGUCAACCCCAGGUUUCCUUUAAGGGAAAACAGCCAUAUAUAUCAAACAUCUCACAAACCAUUACCAAAACCAAACUAGGGAAAAGAUGACUCACUGUUUUUCUGUUUCUUUCUGUCUCUUGGUGGCUCCUUGAGGGCUUUGAUGAUCAGGGCAGAGGCAGAAG